GAUGAAGAACGCAGCGAAAUGCGAUAAGUAAUGCGAAUUGCAGAAUCCGUGAGUCAUCGAAUCUUUGAACGCACAUUGCGCCCCUUGGUUAUUCCGAAGGGCAUGCCUGUUCGAGCGUCAUUAUCACCCCUCAAGCCCUGGCUUGGUGUUGGUCUUUAGUUAUAGCUUUGCCUAUCAACUGGUCUCAAAGAUAGUGACGGCGCCCCAGAGGGAACCGGGUACGAGGAGCUUUUUACUAAGCAUGUAUCUGGGACGACUCUGGGCGACGGUCUUGUUAUACUUUUUACCUAAGUGUUGACCUCGGAUCAGGUAGGAAUACCCGCUGAACUUAAGCAUAUCAAUAAGCGGAGGA
rnacentral:misc_RNA from 1 species